rnacentral:rRNA from 1 species
UACGAAGGGGGCUAGCGUUGUUCGGAAUUACUGGGCGUAAAGGGCGCGUAGGCGGUACUUCAAGUCAGGCGUGAAAGCCCCGGGCUCAACCUGGGAACCGCGCUUGAGACUGGAGAACUAGAGUUCGGGAGAGGAUGGUGGAAUUCCCAGUGUAGAGGUGAAAUUCGUAGAUAUUGGGAAGACCACCGAUGGCGAAGGCAGCCAUCUGGACCGACACUGACGCUGAGGCGCGAAAGCGUGGGGAGCAAACAGG